GAUUGUGAUAUCUCUGAGCCACGCUGUACCACAAGGUGAGGAAGAAUCGGCAGGACCAGGGGGGCAAGACCUCAGUACCCUUCUGACAGAUAACUUUGGAAUCUUCGUCGUCAGUAUAGUGAAUAUGGUGAAGAAGCUACCAGGAUUGGGUCCUCUUCUAGGUGGACUGCUCGAGAAGUUGGUUGGGUUAAUUCAACAAACAAUACAAUCAUAAUAAAAUGCAUUUCAAUAUUA